rnacentral:rRNA from 1 species
UACGUAGGGGGCUAGCGUUGUCCGGAAUCAUUGGGCGUAAAGCGCGUGUAGGCGGCCCGGUAAGUCCGCUGUGAAAGUCGGGGGCUCAACCCUCGGAUGCCGGUGGAUACUGUCGGGCUUGAGUACGGAAGAGGCGAGUGGAAUUCCUGGUGUAGCGGUGAAAUGCGCAGAUAUCGGGAGGAACACCUAUGGCGAAGGCAGCUCGCUGGGACGGUACUGACGCUGAGACGCGAAAGCGUGGGGAGCGAUCCGG